rnacentral:tRNA from 1 species
GCCUGACUGGCUCAGUUGUUAGAGUGUGAGACUCUUGAUCUCAGGAUUGUGAGUUUGAUCUCCACAUUGGGUG